rnacentral:rRNA from 1 species
UGAACACGGAGCUUGCUCUGUGGGAUCAGUGGCGAACGGGUGAGUAACACGUGAGCAACCUGCCCCUGACUCUGGGAUAAGCGCUGGAAACGGCGUCUAAUACUGGAUAUGUGACGUGACCGCAUGGUCUGCGUCUGGAAAGAAUUUCGGUUGGGGAUGGGCUCGCGGCCUAUCAGCUUGUUGGUGAGGUAAUGGCUCACCAAGGCGUCGACGGGUAGCCGGCCUGAGAGGGUGACCGGCCACACUGGGACUGAGACACGGCCCAGACUCCUACGGGAGGCAGCAGUGGGGAAUAUUGCACAAUGGGCGCAAGCCUGAUGCAGCAACGCCGCGUGAGGGACGACGGCCUUCGGGUUGUAAACCUCUUUUAGCAGGGAAGAAGCGAAAGUGACGGUACCUGCAGAAAAAGCGCCGGCUAACUACGUGCCAGCAGCCGCGGUAAUACGUAGGGCGCAAGCGUUAUCCGGAAUUAUUGGGCGUAAAGAGCUCGUAGGCGGUUUGUCGCGUCUGCUGUGAAAUCCGGAGGCUCAACCUCCGGCCUGCAGUGGGUACGGGCAGACUAGAGUGCGGUAGGGGAGAUUGGAAUUCCUGGUGUAGCGGUGGAAUGCGCAGAUAUCAGGAGGAACACCGAUGGCGAAGGCAGAUCUCUGGGCCGUAACUGACGCUGAGGAGCGAAAGGGUGGGGAGCAAACAGGCUUAGAUACCCUGGUAGUCCACCCCG